rnacentral:lncRNA from 1 species
AUGUUACUUUUCUGCACAUUUUUGUUGUGCAAAUAUAGGUACUCUCACUCAGUUCCGUCAGCCUUGGAAUGAGGCGUAUCGGUAGAGACUUCGAGGUAUACCUGCUACGUCCGCAGACCGAGGAGUCCAUUUCCAGCUUUCUGUAAUAAGUAUAGCUUUUCCAGUAUUUUCCUUUGUAUAGAUAUUCUUGAGUCAGAGCCUCUUAUGUAUCCCUUAGCUUGUGAUUUGUGAGAUUUCGGAUUUUGCAAAAUUUUGUUAGUUUCGAGAGUAGUUAUUAUAUGUGCCAGGGGCACCUUAAACACAUGGUUAUUCUACUAAGUUUGUUUUAAUUAUUUUCUGCAAUUUUAUGG